rnacentral:snoRNA from 1 species
AUUCCAUGAUGUGGACACUUAACAUGCAUCCCUUGAACCUCUCCCAUGUUUCUUGUAAUUUUCUGUUGGUCUCUGACUGAAUCUCAAUAUCUCAUCAAUUUGUUU